rnacentral:rRNA from 1 species
CGCAUCUGUGCAUGCAGCAUAUCAAUAAGCGGAGGAAAAGAAACUAACAAGGAUUCCCCUAGUAACGGCGAGUGAAGCGGGAAGAGCUCAAAUUUGAAAUCUUAAAGGGUUUCCCUUUACGAAUUGUAGUUUAAAGAAGUGUUUUCUGUUGAGGUUUCGGUAAAAGUUCUUUGGAAUAGGACAUCAUAGAGGGUGAGAAUCCCGUAUUUGACCUUUACUUUCAACUUUGUGAUACACUUUCAAAGAGUCGGAUUGUUUGGGAAUGCAGUCCAAAAUGGGUGGUAAAUUUCAUCUAAAGCUAAAUAUUGGCGAGAGACCGAUAGCGAACAAGUACCGUGAGGGAAAGAUGAAAAGAACUUUGAGAAGAGAGUUAAACAGUACGUGAAAUUGUCAAGAGGGAAGCGUUUGACACCAGUGUUGUUUUUCUGAAAAUCAAUUAAAGAACUGUUUAUGCUAAGCUGUUUAGACUUUAUCAGCUAACUGUUUAGUUUUGAGCUUUUCUUUAAUGCACUUUUCAGUUAACAAGUCAACAUCAAUUUCUUUUGCUGUAAAAAAGCUUGAGGAAGGUGGCUUGAGAUUCGUCUUAAGUGUUUAUAGCCUCUUGCCUAUGCAGUCGGAGAGAUUGAGGUCUGCAGCGUAGAUCCUUCGGGGCUAAAUGCAUUUGUGCUAAGUUAUAGCAUUUUAUAGACAACUUGUUGACUAUGAUUUGUCUUGUAGCUUACUCGCUUAUGUUAUUUUACCUACGCUUAGGAUGUUGAAUCUGUGCGAGACUAC